AGUUCGAUUCUGGCUCAGAUUGAACGCUGGCGGGAUGCUUACAUAUGCAAGUCGAACUACAGCAUCGGGACUUUAUCUCAGGCGAGUGGCGAACGGGUGAGUAGUAAUGUAUCGGAACGUGCCAGAAGCGGGGAUAACUACGAAAGGCCACGCAUAUGGCCUUCGGGGGAAAGCGGGGACCUUCGGGCCUCGCACCAUUAGGAGCGGCCGACAUCGGAUUAGCUAGUUGGUGGGGUAACGGCUCACCAAGGCGAUGAUCCGUAGCUGGUUUGAGAGGACGACCAGCCACAUGGGACUGAGACACGGCCCAGACUCCUACGGAGGCAGCAGUGGGAAUUUUGACAAUGGGGAAACUCCUGAUCCAGCCAUCCCGCGUGUGUGCGAUGAAGGCCUUCGCUGAAGCACUUUUGGCAGGAAAGAAGCGGCAUGGAUAAUACCCCGUAACCGACGGUACCUGCAGAAUAAGCACCGCUAAUGCAGGCCAGCAGCCGCGGUAUGUAGGGGUGCAAGCGUUAAUCGAACGCUGGGUAAAGCGUGCAGGCGGUUCGGAAAGAAAGAUGUGAAAUCCCAGAGCUUAACUUUGGAAACUGGCAUUUUUAACUACCGAGCUAGAGUGUGUCAGAGGGAGGUGGAAUUCCGCGUGUAGCAGUGAAAUGCGUGGAUAUGCGGAGGAACACCGAUGGCGAAGGCAGCCUCCCGGGAUAACACUGACGCUCAUGCACGAAAGCGUGGGGAGCAAACAGGAUUAGAUACCCUGGUAGUCCACGCCCUAACGACAAUCUUAGCUGUUGGGGCCUUCGGGCCUUUGGUAGCGCAGCUAACGCGUGAAGUUGACCGCCUGGGGAGUACGGUCGCAAGAUUAAACCCAAAGGAAUUGACGGGGACCCGCAAUAGCGGUGGAUGAUGUGGAUUAAUUCGAUGCAACGCGAAAACCUUACCUACCCUGACAUGUCUGGAAUCCCGAAGAGAUUUGGGAGUGCUCGCAAGAGAACCGGAACACAGGUGCUGCAUGGCUGUCGUCAGCUCGUGUCGUGAGAUGUUGGGUUAAGUCCUGCAACGAGCGCAACCCUUGUCAUUAGUUGCUGUCGAAAGGGCACUCAAUGAGACUGCCGGUGACAAACCGGAGGAAGUUGGUGGGGAUGACGUCAAGUCCUUGGCGGCCCUGCAGGGUAGGGCUUCACACGUCAUACAAUGGUCGGGACAGAGGGCCGCCAACCCGCGAGGGGAGCCAAUCCCAGAAACCUGAUCAGUCUGGAUCGUAGUCUGCAACUCGACUGCGUGAAGUCGGAAUCGCUAGUAAUCGCGGAUCAGCAGUGUCGCGGUGAAUACGUUCCCGGGUCUUGUACACACCGCCCGUCACACCAUGGGAGUGGGUUUUACCAGAAGUAGUUAGCCUAACCGUAAGGAGGGCGAUUAACACGGUAGGAUUCAUGACAGGGGUGAAGUCGUAACAGCGU
rnacentral:rRNA from 1 species